rnacentral:misc_RNA from 1 species
GUGAAUCAUCGAAUUUUUGAACGCAAAUUGCACUCCCCUCGGAGAGUAUGCCUGUUUGAGGGUCAGCCUAUAAAAAAUCGACAUCGUUGCUGUUUCGCGGUGGCGUUCGUCGGAAAUGGGGCAAUUUAAAUCCUUUUGGUUUUUUAACGACUUUAAAAUUUCUUUUUUGUUCCAUGAACGGUUCUAAGAAUUAAUUCUUUAAAAGGUUAAGGGA